GCCUCUGUUCGAGUCUUCGCGAGUUGUGCCCCGCGGUCGCCGCCUCGUGCUUCGCGCCGCCGCCUUCGCCGCCUCAGCUCUGCCCACGCGCGUCGGCGGCCGACCGGCUCCGUUCCUCGCGCUCCUCUCCUCCUGCAGCCCUGCCCACACGCGCCGCUGCGCCAGCUGGAAGGAAGCACGCAGGUUGCAGGCAGCCACCGCCGGCCGGAUGGAGGCUGCCAAGCAAGCGCCUCUCAGGUGUUUAUCUAAUUAUCUUCGAACCUCUCUCUAAUCUCCAACGAUUUGUAGUUUCAAGUUUCUAUUCAAUAUAUUAAUUGACAUUUUGGAAGUGCAAUUUCAGACUAAGAGUCCUAGACUUGCAAUUGGUAAUGCGAAUUGCAAAAUGAAGAGGAGCGGAACUUUAGCACCUUAUUUCCCUCGUGUUC
rnacentral:lncRNA from 1 species